rnacentral:rRNA from 1 species
UACGUAGGAGACGAGCGUUGUCCGGAGUUACUGGGCGUAAAGGGUGCGCAGGUGGCGGCGCGCGUGGGGGGUGAAAUCGCCCGGCUUAACUGGGCGGGGGCCUUCCAGACGGCGUGGCUUGAGCAGCGGAGGGGGACGUGGAAUUCCGGGUGGAGCGGUGAAAUGCGUAGAGAUGUGGAGGAACACCGAUGGCGAAGGCAGCCCCCUGGGCCAGCACUGACGCUCAUGCACGAAAGCGUGGGGAGCGAACAGG